rnacentral:rRNA from 1 species
GGAGGAUCCAAGCGUUAUCCGGAAUCAUUGGGUUAAAGGGUCCGUAGGCGGGUUUAUAAGUCAGUGGUGAAAGCCCAUCGCUCAACGAUGGAACGGCCAUUGAUACUGUAGAUCUUGAAUUAUUAGGAAGUAACUAGAAUAUGUAGUGUAGCGGUGAAAUGCUUAGAGAUUACAUGGAAUACCAAUUGCGAAGGCAGGUUACUACUAAUGGAUUGACGCUGAUGGACGAAAGCGUGGGUAGCGAACAGGAUUAGAUACCCUGGUAGUCCACGCCGUAAACGAUGGAUACUAGCUGUUCGGAGCAAUCUGAGUGGCUAAGCGAAAGUGAUAAGUAUCCCACCUGGGGAGUACGUUCGCAAGAAUG